AGGACUGAUCCUGAUGGUUGGAAUCACUGUUGGUAUCAUCAGAACCAGAGGAUGCAAAAAGCCUCACAAAGACAUUAAAGUUCGUUUUGCUGCUGAUGACGACACAGUGAGCUUUGAAAAUGAUGGAGAACGUUCUGCUGCCGCCGCACUGCACUGAGCUUCAUCACGUCAGUUACAGUUUAUAGAAAAACAGUGUUGUAUUUUAAUU